ensembl:lncRNA
CAUUGCUUUUUCUUGAGAUCUCUGGUGUAAUUCCAUUCACACACUCAUAGCUCAAUAGUUCAGUUAUACUAGCACAUGCAUUUUUGUUCAAAUAUUCAUUGUGUGUUUGCCUGCUCUCCAGAAGGAAUUAAUUUUAGAUAUCUAAGGCCCCUGAAUCUUGGUCAAUCUAGAGAAACAAAGAGGUGAAAUAAGUCAGGCAUAUCUUUUCUAAGAACAAUACAGAAAAUCAUCACAUUUUAACUUUUUGAGAUUUGGCAAUUUAACGGGAAAUAACGAUCAUAAAUUUCACAAUGAACUGCAGUUUCACCUACCUAUUUUACCUCAGAUGGUCUAACUGAUUAACAAUCUAAUUAAACUCAGAAUAAUUGUUCUUAACCUGUUUUUAGCUUUGAAGAUAACCACUUCAAUUUCAGUCCUGAAAGAGAGCUUAUGGGCCUAAAAGCUUUUCUUGCUUUAUUACAGAUCCUAUUUCUCCCACAAAUCUUGCCUUGCAUUUAUUGCUGCUUAUGAGCACAAUUGGCAUACGGUUGAAUAUUCAAAACUACUUCCUUUCCAGAGCAAAAAAUAAAUGCAAACUCUCAUUCAGGUCACAGCAGAGGACAUGGAAAAUUAAUUAUACUACCCACAUAUCUAAAAAGAAGCUAUCUCAUAUUUAUUUGUAAGCUCAAAUUCCUGCACCUUUAAAAAAACAAAAACAGAAGACUCAGGUACUGCAUUCCCAGACUAGUUAUCAGAUAUUUUCGGUAAUUAAUUUAACUGAAUCUCUUUCUACAAAACUACUACAAGCUAUUCUUCCAUAUUCUUCAUGAAAGACAGCUUCCAGCUCAUAAACUGUCAGCCUACUUCCAUUCAUAACAGGUAAAUUGAGUUCCUAUCUUCAACCAAGUGUAGGUAACAUCUAAUGUUCUUUGUUUCUGCUCUUCAGUGUUACGUUGCCAGAGUAGAGCUAUUGACCUGUUGCAGGUAGUUAGCUGAUGCUUUUAUACAGUAAAUACUUGUGGUUUAACCCAACAGGCAGCUCAGCACCACUCUCUAUGAUGGCACAAUGCAUCUGUGGACAGCAAAAGAGCCACUGAUGUCAUCAGGGCGUCAGUAAGGCCUUUGACAUGAUUCCCCAUAACAUCCUUCUCUCUCUCUGAUUUGUAAAGAUACAGAUUUGAUGGAUAGACUGUUCAAAGAACAUAGAACUGGUUGCAAGAUCAUACCACAGCGUAGCUGUCAAAAGCUCAAUGUCUGGAUGGAGAUCAGUGAUGAGUUGUGUCCCUCGGAGGUCAAGUCCUUGGACUGAUGUUCUUUAAUAUCUUCAUAAAUUACAUUGACAGUGAGGUCAACUGCACCCUCAGCAACUUUGUGGAUGACACCAAGUUAUGUUGUGUGAUUGACAUGCUUGAGAUAUGGGGUGCCAUCCAGAAAGACCUGGACAGGCUUGAGCAGUGGGCCCAGGUGAACAUCAUGAGGCUCAAUAAAUCCAAAUGCAAGGUCUUGCACUGGGUUUGCACCUGGAUCAUGACAACUUCCACUAUCAGUACAAGCUGGGGGAGGAAAGGAUUGAGUGUAGCCACUCCAAAAAAGACCUGGGAGUGCUGGUGGAUGGCAAGUUGGAUAUGAUCCUGCAAUGUGCCCUCACAGCUCAGAAAGCCAACCAUGUCCUGGAACCAUGUCCUGGGCUGCAUCCAAAGAAAUGUGGGAGGUGAUCCUGCCCUUUUGCUCUGUGCUGGUGAGACCUUACCUGGAGUACUGCAUCCAACUGUGGAGUCCUCAGUACAGGAGAGACAUGGACCUGCUGGUGCACAAACAGAGGAGGGACACAAAUGUUCCAACGGAUGAAACACAUCUCCUAUGAGAACAGACUGAGAGAGCUGGGGCUGUUCAACUUGGAGAAGGCUCUGGGGAGAUCUGAGAGCAGCCAUUCAGUGUCUCAAUGGGGGCUGUAAGAAAGAAGGGGGCAGAAUCUUUAGCAAGGUUUGUUGUGAUAUGACAAGGGGAAACAGUUUCAAGCAAAAAGAGAGAAGAUUUAGGUUGGACAUAAGGAAGAAGUUUUUUUACAAUAAGAGUAGUGAGGCACUGGUACAGGCUGCCCGUAGAGGUGGUGGAUGCCCAGUUCUUGGAGACGUAUAAGGUCAGGUUGUUCAGGGCUCUGACCAACCUGAUCUAGCAGUAGGUGUCUCUGUUCAUUGCAGUGGCGUUGGACUAGGUGACCUUCAAAGGUCUUCCCAAUUCAAAAUGUUCUGUGACACAGUUACAGACCAACCACCAACCAAUGCUUGAGCAUUUCCUGAGCAGUGACAACCCCAUAGCCAAUUCCCCCAGUUUUAUAGUUUUGCAUUAUAUCACAUGGUAUGGAAUAUCCUUUUGACCAGUUUAAGUUGGCUGUCCUGCUCCAGUCCCCUCCCAGCUCCUUGUGCACCCUCAGCCUCUCGCUGAUAGGGCAGCAUAAGAAACUGAAAUUUCUUUGGAUCUUUGCAGCCACUGCUUGGCAACAGCUGAAACAUCUCUGUGCUAUUGAUACUGUUUUUCUCCUAAAUCCAAAACAUGGCUUCAUACCAAACACUAUGAAGAAAAUUAAUCCCAUUCCAGAAAAAAACAGGACACUGGCAGUGCCCUUUAUUUACUACAGAACAGUAAAACUGGUUCCAUAUCUCUAUUCUUCAGUCAAAAUGCAUAUAUGGAUAAUAGCACAUUGCAUUAGAGAUACUACUGGUUUUGAAAAAUAAACAACAAUAAAAACAUGGAGACUGCAGGCUACUGUAUAUACUUUUACAGCCAGCUGGAGUCACUUCAUAGGCUGAGAUACAUCCCCAUACCUGUGCUAUAAAAAUCAUUUUGCUUGGAAAAUAACUGCAGUGAACAAAGGAAUGGAAUUCAUUGCAUUUCUGAGGGAUGUGUGAGAUUUUGUGAUUCUAAGCUCUGGAAGUUAUUUUUUUAACCUAGACAGGAAAAAAUCAAUUGUGGUCAGAAUGGAAGAACACAUAUCUCCAUCACAUUUUAUCCUUAAAUAAAAACAACAUCAGUGACACAAAUAAAAUAGAAUAAAGUAUGCCACUUAUAUCCAGUUUAUAUCCAGGACAUGGACUGGGUCAGCAUUUCUCUUCCAAAGUUACCUGGAGUUUGUAUGUGACUUCUUGUAACACUUUCUGCCUGCCAUCUUUUUGUUGUUGUUGUUGUUGUUUUUAAUUCUCUUCAACUACUGUUUUCCUAAAAGGUAAUUAAUCAAGAAAUUGUAUUUGAACCAAGUUUGUGACAUGUACACCAGUGUCUUAGAUACCAUAGGUGCUAAUAAAAGAUAGUGUCACAUGU